rnacentral:rRNA from 1 species
CCUACGGGAGGCAGCAGUGAGGAAUAUUGGUCAAUGGACGAGAGUCUGAACCAGCCAAGUCGCGUGAAGGAUGACGGCCCUAUGGGUUGUAAACUUCUUUUAUAUGGGAAUAAAACAGGGUAUGCAUACCCUCUUGUAUGUACCAUAUGAAUAAGGAUCGGCUAACUCCGUGCAAGCAGCCGCUGUAAUAAUGAGGAUCCGAGCGUUAGCCGGAUUUAUUGGGUUUAAAGGUAGGUAAGGUGGAUUGUUAAGUGAAUUGUGAAAGUUUGCGGCUAAACCGUCAAAGUGCAUGUGAAACUGGCAGUCUUGAGUACAGUAGAGGUGGGCGGAAUUCGGGGUGUAGCGGUGAAAUGCUUAGAUCUCACGAAGAACUCCGAUUGCGAAGGCAGCUCACUGGACUGCAACUGACACUGAUGCUCGAAAGUGUGGGUAUCAAACAGGAUUAGAUCCCUGUAGUC